CACGCAAUAAACAGUUAUAAAAGGUAAUUGUUGAGAUCAGGGGAAGAUGGCAGAUAGGAGGCAGUGCUAAUGUGUAGCUCCCACAUGGAUGGACAAAACACCAUGUGGAGACUCACACUGUGACCCUGUUGUGCUCCAAGAACUAUCAUAGGAACGUACUGGGAAAACCAAAAGAAUUCACGGAUCCUUUGAAAGAAGACGCACACCACUGUAAAUUCUGUGGAACAGGAGAAAAACUGUCUUGGAGGAAGGCAUCCUUCUAUUCUACUGAUCAGAAAGCUGGACAAAGUCCCACUGCCAGGCUACACAGUUGGUGCCAUUUGCGGAGGCCCACCCGCAGCGGUCACGUGAAGGACCGAGCGCCGCGCGCCCAGGCGGGGCCUCCGGCCUGCACGAGGAGGGCAGAGUCCGUUGCGGCUGCCGCCCCGACGCCCGCGCAUCCCCGCUCGCCGCGCCCGCCGCCGCGAUGUCCGGGGCCGGCCUAGCCGCGGUGGUGAGCUGCCUGCGCCCGCAGCCCGGCGAGGAGCCGCAGACCCAUGAGACCUUCUGCCAGAAAGUGGGCCUGCUGUGCACGCUUCAGGGUAAGCUGCAGCCCCAGGACUGGACAUUGUUGGACGAACUGCUGCAGGGCCUGCAAACACUGCUGCUCAUGAUUUUGUGGCAGGCUUCCCGUGGCCUCUUCCUGCACUACCAUGUGGAGGCCCUAACCCUGCGUCGCAUCAGUAGCUUCCGCCAGUACAAGUAUGACCUGGUGGCAGCGGGCAAGGCUUUGGAGGGCAUGUUCUGCAAGCUCAACCACCUCCUGGAACACCCGCACCAGCUGUUCUUCCUCUACCUGCUCCCCACUCUGUCCCGCUUCGUCUCCAUCGGCCUCUACAUGCCCGCCACCAGCUUCUUGCUCCUGGUCCUUGGUUUCAAGGCUCUGCAACUGUGGAUGCAGCUGCAUGAGGCCGGAGUGGGCCUUGAGGAGCUCAGGGGGGUCCCUGACCCUAGUGUCCCCGCUCCCCCAGCACAGGAUGGUAAGCACACAGGUCCCAGACAGGGGCUGGAUGGCUCUGAAGCUGGUAGCCCUGAUCUACCUAAUACUGCAGCUGGGCUGCAUCGCCCUCACCAACUUCUGACUGGACUUCCUGCUGGCCGCCACUAUGGUGCUGCCGCUGUGCUCGCCGAGCCUUUGGGCCCUGGACCCUCUGUGCUGCCCUGCUGGUGUUGACAAGCCCAGCAGCCACGCUCCUUGGCAGCCCAUUCCUGUGGCGGGAGCUGCAGGAGGCACCACUGUCACUGGCCAAGGGCUGGCAGCUCUUCCUGGCAGCACUGGCCCAGGGUGCGCUGGAGCACCACACCUAAGGCGCCCUGCUCUUCCCACUGCUGUCCCUGGGCCUCUGCCCUUGCUGACUACUUUUCUGGAAUGUGCUCUUCUGGAAGUGAGAUCUGCCUGUCCGGGGCACCAGGCUGGGACAGAGACUCCCCAAGGACCCCAUUCUGCCUCCUUCUGGGGAAAUAAACAAGUGCCUGUUUCAGCUGCUUU
rnacentral:lncRNA from 1 species